rnacentral:lncRNA from 1 species
UGAUUAUUUCAUAAUUACUAUGAUCCUGCACAGUCCCAUACAGUAAAAGAAAGCACAGUCCUCCUCGAGCACUGAGAUGUUAAUGAGACUUGAGAUGCUGCUUUUCAUUGGCCUGUGGCGAGGGUGUGGGCGGAGCCCCUCGAGCAAAUACUGUACUGGUGAUGAAGGUGUUCGGCGGCAACGCAAGCGCUCGGUGUUCCCAAGGUGAGCACAGUGACGUUGAGGCGCGUCGGUAAAGCGGUCAAACUUCAACGGUAGACAGGCGCCACUACAUUAGUAACGUCCUCAGACGGUUCUCAUUAACCUCUUAGCAAUUAAAAUGCGAUGAACAACCACAGUGCCCGUCUUUUGGCUUUAUAAAUUAGGCAGAAAUGAUGCUCGCAUCAGUACUGUGGACAGCUGUUUUAUUUACUCUUGUAAAAACCUCCGUCCUGAACAGCGGUCCAACUGAAGCACCAGAUGAGGAGAGCGGCUCUGGGAUGCUGUUGACAGAAGCAAUAGACCUUCUUGAUCAUCUGUGGCAGGUGGCUAAUCACAGCAACGCAUCAGUAACACAGGAAAGCCAAAGAUGUCCAGUCCUGCAUGUAGGCCAGUACUCCACCCUCUCUAUACCACUACGGCAGGUGUUUGGACACAGGUUUGGUGAUGAGUUCAGUCUGCUGUUGCAUCUGCGUAGCCCCCAGUCUGAAGACCGAAGUGUGCUAACUUUCCUCUGUCCAGAUGGACACAUUCUACUGCAGAUUCGCAUCAGUGCCUACACUUUUACCUUUAUCAGUACCCAACAACGACACUAUGAGUUCCCUGUGGCAGUGCUGUCUGAUGGGGGUUGGCACCGCGUGGCGGUCAGCGUCUCCUCGGGCCGGUUGGCAUUGUAUGUGGAUUGCUCCAUGGUUGAGAGCGUGGACUGGGCUUACAAGGAUGAUUUGGGAAUCUCCACUGAUGGCCUGGUUAUGGUGGGAGGAAUCAUUGAGGGUUUUGAGACACCUUUUGAGGGUGAUCUGAUGCAAGUGGCAUUUCUGAUGGGAGAACCAGAUGCAGCUCGAGAUCAGUGUGUCGUUUUGCAACCCCAGUGCGGCGGAACCGGACACAAACCACCUCGCUCUCCUCGCAUACACACUGAAGAGGUAAGUGAGCCAUACUGUACAGGGAAUAUCAUGUAA